AUUGAACGCUGGCGGCAUGCCUUACACAUGCAAGUCGAACGGCAGCGGGGGAGAAGCUUGCUUUUCCUGCCGGCGAGUGGCGAACGGGUGAGUAAUACAUCGGAACGUGCCCUGUAGUGGGGGAUAACUAGUCGAAAGAUUAGCUAAUACCGCAUUCGACCUGAGGGUGAAAGUGGGGGACCGCAAGGCCUCAUGCUAUAGGAGCGGCCGAGGUCUGAUUAACUAGUUGGUGGGGUAAAGGCCUACCAAGGCGACGAUCAGUAGCUGGUCUGAGAGGACGAGCAGCCACACUGGGACUGAGACACGGCCCAGACUCCUACGGGAGGCAGCAGUGGGGAAUUUUGGACAAUGGGCGAAAGCCUGAUCCAGCAAUGCCGCGUGUGUGAAGAAGGCCUUCGGGUUGUAAAGCACUUUUGUCCGGAAAGAAAUGGCUCUGGUUAAUACCUGGGGUCGAUGACGGUACCGGAAGAAUAAGGACCGGCUAACUACGUGCCAGCAGCCGCCGUAA
rnacentral:rRNA from 1 species